CAGAAGUUCCCACUGCUCAACCAACCCCUUAAACAACCACUGCCAGUAUCUACUUUUGGAGGUCCAACACCAAAAUUAGCAUAAAUACUUGCUCAUCAGGAAAGAGAAAUGCAGGUUGCCUUACAGUACCUAUUAAUCCACAAGUUGCUCGAAACAAUGGAGCACGAGGUAUGAAAGAGAAUGAACAAGGAACAAGCCACCUUAACUAACAGAUUAUGCUUUUUGUUGCUGACAGUCGACACAAAAUUAUAUUUACAUACCUGAGAUAUCUGCGCAGGAAGUAGCUGCUAACAGUUGACAAUAAAUGAUUCGAUAAUAUAACAUAAACUGUGAUACAGAACUUGAGAA
rnacentral:lncRNA from 1 species